GAACUUAGCAUCCUCCCUCCGUAAGUAUUUCGUACUGCCGGCAAACUUUUCAGUAUAGGAGGUUUUGUUUCAUGAUGGAACUGCUCUUAGAACUAAUUCUGAAAGUGUGGUGUUGCUCCUUAGCUUUUAUAGCAUACGACACAGUGGUAUACAAUAGUAUGUCUUAAAUAAUAAUUCCAUGUGCUGUCAUUUUCCGUUAAAAACAGAAGAUUUCAGUCAGUUCCAGUUGUAUGUUCAUAAGAUUAUGGAACUGAACAAAAAUUUUUCAUCCAGACUUACAAUAUUGCUACUGAGAUGUUGAACAUAAUACUUUUCUGGUGGAUGACAAUAUAAUUUCUUUUAAAAUUGAUUUGUCACUGCGUGGGGAACUGAAACUGAAAACCGACAGGUGUUUUGAGACACUAUUCAUGUGGAAGGUGAUCACACCGAUGCCACAAAUACCAACAGUACUGCACGAUUUAGGCAAACAGGUUGUGUAGGCUGAAGCAAUGAAGUGAAAAGUAGCUGUGUAUACUGAGGAAAAUGUAAAAGGUGGAUGAGAAAAUUUGAAAUUUUCAGAAGUGAAAACUCAAUGACAUUGUCACUAUGAUCCAAUCAUUAUCAAUUUGGGGCAUGCAGAAAAAAUGAGCUCAUUAUACAUAUAAUAAUUUAUUUAAAUGUGUUUUGAAGAAAUAGGUAAGUAGAAUGAGCUGGAAAUAUUUCUAACAUUGGCCAAUACCAUCUGGUAAUGAAACUUGUACAGAACUUUCAGGGGGUAGACAAUUGGGAACAAAAUUCAAUGAAAUAGGCUUGUCCAUUGAUAUAAAAAUGUUUCACACUGUUGAUUUCUGGACUGGGUGUGUGUAUGGACAGCAUAAUGAGGGACCGAACAUUGGAAUUUCUACACAAGGUAAUUUGGUAGGUGUUUGAAUAAUUCUUUUAUACUGAAGAUUUAGGUGUUUAUUAGAUUUAAAAGAUUGUUCCAAAAGUGUCAAUGUAUUCCUCUGAAAGCUAUUUAUACUCAUAUAGUUUUGAAUGGAGGGAGACUGAAGUUUUUGUGUGUGAAGUUAAGGCAGCACGCACCUUGUUGGAACUUAGACACACGAUUUUAACAAUAAUUGAAAAACUUGUGGAUGGAUUAUAAACAGUAACUUAGAGGAAACUGUCCAUUUGUAUUGAAGGGGGACUGAUGACCAUAGAUGUUAAGUCCCAUAGUGCUCAGAGCCAACCUGUAUUGAAGACGUACUUGCUGAAUAGCUGUAGUUUAGAUAUGAACAAAAAGCAACACUAUUAUCACCACACACGCACGUGCACACACAGAGACCAUGUAUGUGGUUCUGUGCAGGGUUUGCGUGGUACUUUGCACGGCUCCCCUAUUAUUGAGUUUGCUGCAGGUUUCAGAUUUGCUGAUAGAUGACUAGUGAAAUGACCCAAAGUGUGUCAGGGCUCAUUCUCUAGUUGAUUGUUCAUAUGGUAACUGCCCUGUGGACAAUUGUCAGUCACUUUCUUAAUUUCAUUCACUAUAGCACAGUUGAGUGGCAGGUAGUAGAGGUGACAUAUUGUGUAAAUUAAUGAAUUUGGUCUAUGGAGCGAGAAGCCUUUCACUCUAGAACCAUUUCCUGAACUGUGCUAUAUUCUUUGUUGCAUGGGGAAAGACGAUAAGGAUGCAAAGACAAUGGGUGAAUACAGACACAGUUGUGGACACAAGAAAUUGUGAGUUCACACACUGUAUGUGUGCAAUUUCACUGAUCAGUUACUGGAAGUGCACUGCUUGCUUGUGGGCUCAGUAAGUGAAACAAGUACAUGUCACAGAGGCAUAAUUGUUUUGCAUGUGCUCAUCUUGUAUUGUGGCACAGUUUGUUAUGAGAACACAUAGUUUGAUAUUGUCUGUUUCUCCAGCUUCAUUGUGUAAUCACUGUUGUUUAUAUUUUAAUCUUUUGUAUGGUUCUGGAUUUUCUUUACUGAAUACAACAUAUGUAAGAAGGUAAGUCAGUUACUGGAGAUAAAAAUAU